GCAUAUCAAUAAGCGGAGGAAAAGAAACCAACAGGGAUUGCCCUAGUAACGGCGAGUGAAGCGGCAACAGCUCAAAUUUGAAAUCUGGCCUCGGCCCGAGUUGUAAUUUGCAGAGGAAGCUUUAGGCGCGGCACCUUCUGAGUCCCCUGGAACGGGGCGCCAUAGAGGGUGAGAGCCCCGUAUAGUUGGAUGCCUAGCCUGUGUAAAGCUCCUUCGACGAGUCGAGUAGUUUGGGAAUGCUGCUCAAAAUGGGAGGUAAAUUUCUUCUAAAGCUAAAUACCGGCCAGAGACCGAUAGCGCACAAGUAGAGUGAUCGAAAGAUGAAAAGCACUUUGAAAAGAGGGUUAAAUAGCACGUGAAAUUGUUGAAAGGGAAGCGCUUGUGACCAGACUUGCGCCGGGCUGAUCAUCCGGUGUUCUCACCGGUGCACUCUGCCCGGCUCAGGCCAGCAUCGGUUCUCGCGGGGGGAUAAAGGCCCAGGGAAUGUAGCUCCUCCGGGAGUGUUAUAGCCCGGGGUGCAAUGCCCUCGCGGGGACCGAGGUUCGCGCAUCUGCAAGGAUG
rnacentral:rRNA from 1 species